GUUCACAUCAGGAGCACAUGUACUAAAAUUGGAAGGAAAUAGAAGAUUAGCAUGGCCCCUGUGCAAGGAUGACAUUCAAAUUUGUAAAGUGUUUCAUAUUUAA